rnacentral:rRNA from 1 species
GAUGAACGCUGGCGGCGUGCCUAAUACAUGCAAGUCGAGCGAACGGACGAGAAGCUUGCUUCUCUGAUGUUAGCGGCGGACGGGUGAGUAACACGUGGAUAACCUACCUAUAAGACUGGGAUAACUUCGGGAAACCGGAGCUAAUACCGGAUAAUAUUUUGAACCGCAUGGUUCAAAAGUGAAAGACGGUCUUGCUGUCACUUAUAGAUGGAUCCGCGCUGCAUUAGCUAGUUGGUAAGGUAACGGCUUACCAAGGCAACGAUGCAUAGCCGUCCUGAGAGGGUGAUCGGCCACACUGGAACUGAGACACGGUCCAGACUCCUACGGGAGGCAGCAGUAGGGAUUCUUCCGCAAUGGGCGAAAGCCUGACGGAGCAACGCCGCGUGAGUGAUGAAGGUCUUCGGAUCGUAAAACUCUGUUAUUAGGGAAGAACAUAUGUGUAAGUAACUGUGCACAUCUUGACGGUACCUAACCAGAAAGCCACGGCUAACUACGUG